UGACAACGAGAGAGAGCACGCGAGUCGGCAUUCAUGCAGAGGAUAUAUAAAUGACUGUCUACAUGCGUGCUUUCUCUCGUUGUCAUA
rnacentral:pre_miRNA from 1 species